UUAAUGUUGUUCUCUCAAGAGAUUCGUUUUUCAUGUCAGCAUUUUGAUGUUUUCAUUUAAUGUUUAUUUAAUUGAUUUCUUCUUCUUCAAUUUUCUAGGUUUGAAAUGUUCAUGGAAAUCUCUGAUUUAGUUUGUUCAACUCCAUUUAGCUCUCAAUCUUUCAUUCAAUUGAUGGAAAUCUCGGAUUCUUUGUGUUGUUUAAUUUCGCUGAUAUGUAAAUCUCAAGAGUGAUUUUAGUUACAAUUAACCAAAAGAGAUGAGCGAAGAAGAUAAGAUUUCAUCUGUUAAUAAAAGUGUGAAAUAAAAAGGAAUCCCUGAUUUAAAAGCGCCCUUAAGCGAACUGAAGCAUCUGGAAAUUCCAUGAGGUAUUAACAAGCCAAUGUUUGUGCAUUCAUUUGAUAAAAUCUAGAAGGUGAUUAUAGAUAUUUAACUAGAAAUUGUCGCUCAAUCUCAAGUGUUUGAUAUUAUAAGUUUUUACGUAGUUGUGUUGUGUUUCCAAGUUUGAAGUACAAUCAUGAUAUUGUAAAAUUCACGUAGAAACCCCAAAUAAUAAUCUUUCGUAAUGCUUUGGUUGCUUGGGCGGUCUUACAUUUUAUUA